rnacentral:rRNA from 1 species
AAAGCGUGCGCAGGCGGUUAUACAAGACAGGCGUGAAAUCCCCGGGCUUAACCUGGGAAUGGCGCCUGUGACUGUAUAGCUAGAGUGUGUCAGAGGGGGGUAGAAUUCCACGUGUAGCAGUGAAAUGCGUAGAUAUGUGGAGGAAUACCAAUGGCGAAGGCAGCCCCCUGGGAUAACACUGACGCUCAUGCACGAAAGCGUGGGGAGCAAACAGGAUUAGAUACCCCUGU